rnacentral:rRNA from 1 species
CCUACGGGAGGCAGCAGUGAGGAAUAUUGGGCAAUGGGAGAGAUCCUGAACCAGCCAAGCCGCGUGAGGGAUGACGGCCAUAUGGGUUGUAAACCUCUUUUGUCGGAGAACAAAACCCGGGACGUGUCCCGUACUGCGUGUAUCCGAAGAAAAAGCAUCGGCUAACUCCGUGCCAGCAGCCGCGGUAAUACGGAGGAUGCGAGCGUUAUCCGGAUUUAUUGGGUUUAACGGGUGCGUAGGCGGUCCGUUAAGUCAGCGGUAAAAUUGCGGGGUUCAACCCCGUCGAGCCGUUGAAACUGGCAGACUUGAGUUGGCGAGAAGUACGCGGAAUGCGCGGUGUAGCGGUGAAAUGCAUAGAUAUCGCGCAGAACUCCGAUUGCGAAGGCAGCGUACCGGAGCCAGACUGACGCUGAGGCACGAAAGCGUGGGGAUCGAACAGGAUUAGAUACCCGGGUAGUC